rnacentral:rRNA from 1 species
UACAGAGGGGGCAAGCGUUAUUCGGAAUUAUUGGGCGUAAAGGGCGCGUAGGCGGCUUUUCAAGUGACGGGUGAAAUCCCUCGGCUUAACCGAGGAACUGCCUGUCAGACUGGAAGGCUUGAGACCGGGAGAGGUGAGUGGAAUUCCCAGUGUAGCGGUGAAAUGUGUAGAGAUCGGGAGGAACACCGGUGGCGAAGGCGGUCUUCUGGACCUUAACUGACACUGAGGGACGAAAGCUAGGGGAGCGAAUGGG